rnacentral:rRNA from 1 species
AACGUAGGAGACAAACGUUAUCCGGAAUUACUGGGCGUAAAGGGCGCGUAGGCGGCCUGUUAAGUCGAACGUGAAAUCCCCGGGCUCAACCCGGGAACUGCGUCCGAUACUGGAAGGCUUGAAUCCGGGAGAGGGAUGCGGAAUUCCAGGUGUAGCGGUGAAAUGCGUAGAUAUCUGGAGGAACACCGGUGGCGAAGGCGGCAUCCUGGACCGGUAUUGACGCUGAGGCGCGAAAGCCAGGGGAGCAAACGGG